AACGAACGCUGGCGGCAUGCCUAACACAUGCAAGUCGAACGAGACCUUCGGGUCUAGUGGCGCACGGGUGCGUAACGCGUGGGAACCUGCCCUUAGGUUCGGGAUAACUCCCCGAAAGGGGUGCUAAUACCGGAUAAUGUCUUCGGACCAAAGAUUUAUCGCCUUUGGAUGGGCCCGCGUUGGAUUAGCUAGUUGGUGGGUAAAAGCCUACCAAGGCGACGAUCCAUAGCUGGUCUGAGAGGAUGAUCAGCCACACUGGGACUGAGACACGGCCCAGACUCCUACGGGAGGCAGCAGUGGGGAAUAUUGGACAAUGGGCGAAAGCCUGAUCCAGCAAUGCCGCGUGAGUGAUGAAGGCCUUAGGGUUGUAAAGCUCUUUUACCCGGGAUGAUAAUGACAGUACCGGGAGAAUAAGCUCCGGCUAACUCCGUG
rnacentral:rRNA from 1 species